UUCAAUUUAAAAUAUUUAUGCAUUUUAUAAAACUGUAUCUUCUACACCAUAAUUAUCUAUGUAAUAUUUAGUACAAACCGAACAUUUUUAUUUUAAUGUUUGAAAACUUUUAUUGUUUUCCUGUAAUUAAAUUUUGAAUUUGUUUCGGUUUUGAAUUAUCUAGGGUUUAUCAACAGUAACCGAGGUGACGUGGCAUCAUUAGCGGGGGAUCACUGUAGCUUAAUUAUCCGGGUGUCACAAUUCUCCUCCACUACAAGAAAUCUCGUUCCGAGAUUUAAGAGGGGGACUAAGGGGGAAAGGUCUGGUUACGAAAUCCUAACGAAUCUUCUCGGUCUUGGUUGCUCUUCUCGAACAGGUCGAUCCAUAGCGUCGAUGUCUUCAUUCCUAUGCAUCAAUGCAUCAUGAUGAAGUUGUUGUCCUUUCUUCGGGAACUCCAUCGUACUUACAAAAUGGUAAGAAGGGAAAACUCUAUAUGGAUGGAUUCUAUCAAGAUCGAGCAUCAGACGGUUAACUCAGGGAAGAAGCAUAAGUAUCUCUCGAAUUGAAACUUAAGAAGAUAUCGAGAGCAAAGUAAGAAGGUACCAUGAGAAGUUUCAAACGGAUAGGCAAUCGUUGGAUGCCCAAUUAGAAGGUGAAAGGGUUUCAGGGCAACGAGAAUAGGUAUUGCGCCACAUACCAGAAUAGGUCACUAGACAGGUGGCCUGUGAAUUACAUAUGAAGUCAAGCGCGAGGAAUAACUUUGACAACAGGGUGUACAGGUGAGUCAGGUUUCGAUCCUGUGGAACUGUGGGUUAUGGGCCCACCAUGUGGUUCUUUUCUUUUCUUUUUAAUAGGAGCAGUGACAUCUUGCACGGUCAUGAUAGCAAGGCAUGUCAGGGAAUACCAUGUCAGCUAUGUCGGCAAUAACGUUGGUACCAAGGGCGAGGGACGAAGAGAACCAUUUUCAUGCUCGUUGAAACGAGGCGGACCAAUAGGCAAAGUUCUCGUCCAUCGGUGGUUAUCGGAAUGUCAUCAACAAUAGAAACAGGGUCUUACUGACACGGUUGUACACCAAGGUGUGUACUUAAGCAGAAGAAUAUUACUGCUUAAAUCAUAUGGAUCACGAGGAAGAUUUAAACAAAUCAAUGGAAAGGAAAAUGUGAUCAUCAGAUUAAAUAGAGCAAUGGAAAGGAAAAUGUGUUUAAACACAUUAUUCAGGGUUAUAUCCUUCGCUAAGGACAAACAGAUCAUGAUAUCCACAACAGGAUAUAAUGUAGAAAACCCUUUAGGAAAGGGGAGAGAAACUUCAUGACAUUACCCAUACAACGGUGUUUGGAUAAUUGAUAAAGAGAAUUCAACGUUGUGCUUCAAAUGUUCUUAUUGAUGGUCGGAGUACCACCGACAUGCUUCGAGAUAGCAUUGACAUGGUCAACAGGUAAAGAUCGGGCUAUGGAUACAUACGGGAUCCAUCGGGAUCAACUUAUAGAAUAAGUCUUAUAAUUUCCUCAGGGAAGAAUGGUUAACCUUGCUAAUAAGGAAACUAUAACAGCAGGUCAUCCGGCCAGGUGUGCUGGACAUGCCAUCACCUUACCGGGUCAUAAAAGACCAGUGUUAUAACUCUUGAAAAUAUGUUCUCACCAUCAUAUCUGACCGAGGUGCAGAUCUAAUUGGUGUCAUGAUACCUCAGACUCAGGAUGUCCGAGAAGAAAAGGUGAAACACAAAUAGUCGAAAUGACACUGCAAGAUUCUCGGGAAAUGAACCAUGGGAGAGGGUUCCUGGAAUAAUAGUUCAUCAUUAAACCAAGGAGGGGAUGAGAAGGUGGCUGAUGGGCUCACCGACAAUUCAUCGAGAAUUUCAAACGGAUGGCUUUCCAUAAUAAUGUGAACAAGAAGAUGACACUAGUCAAUUCAAAUGAUAAUGUUGUAUGCUCUAGGAAAACAUACACCAUCAAUCAUAGUUGAAAGGGGCAACCGAAAUGUGGGCUUAUAGUAGCAUGAUCAACGUUAGAAUGGUGGUUCAGCAACCAAUAGGCUAAGAAUGAAUUAUCGAUCAUUAACUCCAAAGCAAUAGGGUUGCUAGAAGGGUAAAAUCCAAACAGCACCGUUCACUUGUUGGUACCCCGGUUGGAAUCAAUACGAGGACCAAGAAAGAAUGGUCAUGGUGAGAAGUAUCACUAUACCAAGAAUUCUUAAGUGGUGGAGCAAUCCUCAAAACAUUCUUGACAUCAAAGAUGGUAAUACUCCGCGGUAGAACAUAACAUAAGUUGGAUAGCAAGGAACUCAAGGUACAGCACAAAACAGGAACAAGUUUUGUGUUGGAGGGAAUGCAAUAAUGUUGUCGAUGAUAACCCAAAUCAUCGAGGGUAAAGGAUGCUAUUUCUCAUCAAGAAUUUGAUAGAUAUCUUGGAAGACCUCAUAAGGUUGAUGAUGUUCACGACACAUUUGUCGAGAGAUUUCAAGAUGUAAACAAUCAGCAACGACAUCGAGUCAAAGAAAUGAUGAAGCGGAAGGUCAUUGGAACCAUGGGUAGGACACAAACUUUAAAUCAAGCUUGUUGUUCAAGGUGAACUGAUAUGACGAGGAAGAUCGACGUAAGCUUAGCUCAUCAUCAAAAGUUGUGCUCCGGGAUUAAGGACCAGGUAGCACAGUUAAAAUUUAGCACAAUAAUGAUAUAGCCGAUCAGGCUAGGAAUGACUUGAAGGAUUAUUAAACUCGUAAGCAACAAGAAUUACUUAGAGUUAUUGAAUCAGAGUGCGGAAUCGAUUCACUUAUCGGUGUUCUCGAGUGACUAAUAACUCAGAACCUGGGGGGAUCCAAGAUCGGUGAGAAACAAUACUAGAUGAAGACUCGCAGGAAGCAACACAGUACUCGAGAUACCAGAGGUUAAUACUCGAGGAAGAUCAAAAAUAGAGGUUGCAGAGAUGUAUCGAUCAACAAAAGACAAGUGCUUUAACUUGUCUGAGAAAUGGAAUCAAGGAGAAAAUGUGGUUGGGAUCAUGAUUGAAAAUGAUCAAUACAUAGAUACCAGAUGAUGUCAUAUCAAGGAAAUAGUUAAUAUUGCAAGAAUCUUCUAUGAUAGGAUCUACAUCAUGUCCAUGGGCAUGAACACAAAGUUCAAGGUCGACUCCCACUUCUUUAAUGCAUAACCUUUCAUUUACUUCUCACUUUCGAAGAAGUUGUAGUGUUGAAAUUUCAUCUGGCAAAAUACCAGAAGUGUAUGACUCGUGAAAACUUUCGAGUUCACACGGUUUUAGAGAAGGUUGUAUAGGUUCAACCCAUCGGGGUUUCUUAGAAACAUAUACCACAAGUUUCAAGAGUAAAUAUCACAAGCUCGAAAGUAGAGCAUGGUUAGCAAAACAGAGGAUACAAUUUACCAAAGGUAUCACAUACCCAUGGAGAGGCUCACAAGGUUAUUGAAUAGGAAGGACACUGCCGGACAAUAAUCCAACAAGGGGUCCUAUGGUCUACAAUGGAGCUGAUGCGAGUAUCGGUACUCUAUCUGAGGAAGAUAGAAUGAAAGGGCAUCAGAUUAGCAUUUCCAAAUCAAGGGAUCAAAAGCCAACGCUCUCAUUAAGAAUGGAUCAGUCGAAUAGACUUAGGGGUACAAUCGACGACAAUUUGAUUUGUCGAUAACCAGCUCAUGUUUAAAAUGACGUGUGAGCCGGAAGGAUGAAUCAUUGGAUCUGAUUGAGGAUGGCGAGCAUUCACAACAUUUUGAAUCAACGGACUCAAAAUGAUAAUGACAAGAGAUGCCAAUAAAAUUAUAGACUUAUGGGAUUAACCAUAAUGCAAGCAAGUAAGAACUUCAAGAGUAAUAGGCUACUCAGGAUUUUCGGAAGUUCAAAUAGUAUUUUGAAGACUUUUGUGAAAUACAUGAACCAACUGGGGAUGAGCAAAUAUCCGGUGAGUGCUAGAAAUUACCCAUAGUGGUAUUCAUGUGGCAAAGAAAUGCAAGGCAGUAGGCACAAAGUAUUCUCAGAACAAUAGAGAGAAUUUUGGGGCAUCUUGUAAUAACAAGAUCAAUGAGGAAUGAUUAUAUGAAUGGCACGUGUACGUGGUUAUCCAUAGAGGUUUAACGAUAGAAGGGAAUUGCAAAAGCAACACGCACAAGGUCUCGACAGAAUAUCGGAGAGUAUCUUCGAAAUCUUCUAGUGCAGCCGGCGAUCAUCUGGACUGAAGGGGCUCUCCGGGAGAAAGUAUUUUCGAGAACCUAAGUUAGAUUUUUAGUAAAUUCAUUAAACCCGAAUAGGAGAGAGUUCAGAGUCCCAGAGUAAGGAUCGAGGAGUAAAAGAGUCUAAUACCACCCAGAUGGCGAUGUGGGCCCGUAAGGCACACAACCAUGUUAGUAAAAGUUUUUGUAAUGUCUAGACUCAACUUCGGCCAAGGAGAGUGGAAGGGGAAUUCCUACAGGCAGUCGGCUCUGAUAUCAACUUGUGACGCCCCCGAUUUAAUCGUACACUAAUCAUACACGCAAACGUGUACGAUCAAGAUCAGGGAAUCACGGGAAGAUAUCACAACACAACUCUACAAAUAAAAUAAGUCAUACAAUCAUCAUAUUACAAGCCAGGGGCCUCGAGGGCUCGAAUACAAGAGCUCGAUCAUAGACGAGUCAGCGGAAGCAACAAUAUCUGAGUACAGACAUAAGUUAAACAAGUUUGCCUUAAGAAGGCUAGCACAAACUGGGAUACAGAUCAAAAGAGGCGCAGGCCUCCUGCCUGGGAUCCUCCUAAACUACUCCUGGUCGCCGUCAGCGGGCUGCACGUAGUAGUAGGCACCUCUCGAGUAGUAGUAGUCGUCGUCGAAGGGGGUGUCUGGCUCCUGGGCUCCAACAUCUGGUUGCGACAACCAAGUAGAAGGGAUAGGGGGAAAAGAGGGAGAAAGCAACCGUGAGUACUCAUCCAAAGUACUCGCAAGCAAGGAGCUACACUACAUAUGUAUGCAUUGGUAUCAACUGGAAUAAGGCUAUUAUAUGUGGACUGAACUGCAGAAAGCCGGGAUAAGGGGGGAUAGCUGGUCCUUUCGAAGACUACGCUUCUGGCAGCCUCCGUCUUGCAGCAUGUAAAAGAGAGUAGACUGAAGUCCUCCAAGUAUCAUCACAUAGCAUAAUCCUAACCGAUGAUCCUCCCCUCGUCGCCCUGUGAGAGAGCGAUCACCGGUUGUAUCUGGCACUUGGAAGGGUGUGUUUUAUUAAGUAUCAGGUUCUAGUUGUCAUAAGGUCAAGGUACAACUCCAAGUCGUCCUGUUACCGAAGAUCAUGGCUAUUCGAAUAGAUUAACUUCUCUGCAGGGGUGCACCACAUAUCCCAACACGCUCGAUCCCAUUUGGCCGGACACACUUUCCUGGGUCAUGCCCGGCCUCGGAAGAUCAACACGUCGCAGCCCUACCUAGGCACAACAGAGAGGUCAGCACGCCGGUCUAAAUCCUAUGGCGCAGGGGUCUGGGCCCAUCGCCCAUUGCACACCUGCACGUUGCGUACGCGGCCGGAAGCGGAACUGGCCCCCUUAAUACAAGAGCAGGCUUACGGUCCAAUCCGGCGCGCGCCACUCAGUCGCUGACGUCACGAAGGCUUCGGCUGAUACCACGACGUCGAGUGCCCAUAACUGUCCCCGCGUAGAUGGUUAGUGCAUAUAGGCCAGUAGCCAGACUCAGAUCAAAUACCAAGAUCUCGUUAAGCGUGUUAAGUAUCCGCGAAUGCCGACCAGGGACAGGCCCACCUCUCUCCUAGGUGGUCUCAACCGGCCCUGUCGCUCCGCCACAAAGUAUCAGUCGGGGGCCGUCGGGAACCCAGGCCCACCUCUACCGGGAUGGAGCCACCUGCCCCUUCAGCCCCAACUCCGAACGGUACCACAGGUAAUGUAACAGUGUAAAGUAUAUAGUAUAUGCCCAUGAUCACCUCCCGAGGUGAUCACGGCCCAGUAGUAUAGCGUGGCAGACGGACAAGAGUGUAGGGCCACUGAUGAUAAUCUAGCAUCCUAUACUAAGCAUUUAGGAUUGCAGGUAAGGUAUCAAUAGUUGUAGCAACAAUGACAGGCUAUGCAUCAGGAUAGGAUUAACAGAAAGCAGUAACAUGCUACACUACUCUAAUGCAAGCAGUAGAGAGAAGAGUAGGCGAUAUCUGAUGAUCAGAAAGGGGGGCUUGCCUGGUUGCUCAGACAAGAAGGAGGGGUCGUCGGUGACGUAGUCGACCACAGGGGCAUCAUCAUCGUCACUGGGUCUACCGGAAAGAAUUAACGGAGGGGGAACGCAAUAAAUAACAGAGCAAUCAAAGUAUAACAUGGCAAUGCGCGGUGCUAAAGGUGACCUAACGCGGUAUGAGGUGAUACCGGUGAAGGGGGGAAACAUCCGGGAAAGUAUCCCCGGCGUUUCGCGUUUUCGGGCAGAGGAGCCGGAGGGGGAAAGUUGCGAGUUUGAUAUGUUAGGAGUGUGUGGCGGACGAACGGGCUGCGUAUCCGGGUUCGUCUCGUCGUUCUAAGCAACUUUCAUGUACAAAGUUUUUCGAUCCGAGCUACGGUUUAUUUUAAAAUGAUUUUCUAAAGUUUUAUUAAUUUUUGGAAUUAAUUAUUUUCAACAUUAUCCAGAACAGUAAAGGAUGACGUCAGCAUGACAUCAUGCUGAUGUCGGCAGUCAACUGUGCAGUUGACUGGGUCAACUAUGUGUGGGUCCCGCAUGUCAUUGAUUGAUUAGGCUAAACAGGGGUUAAUUAAGUUAACUAGUAAUUAGGUUAAUCUAAUCAAGAUUAAUUAAUUUAAUUUAAUUAAUUCUUUAAUUAAUUAAUUUAAUAAUUAUUAUUUAUUUAAUUAUCUUUAUUAUCAUUUUUUUAAUUCUUUUUUUUAAUUAAAACAUUCUGGGCAUGGGGCCCAUCUGUCAUAGGCCCCAGGGGCCGAUGCGGGUUUGCAGGCGCUACAGGCGCCCGUGCGGGCGCUCGCCCGCAGGGAGCGGCGGGGCGAGGCCAAGUCACGGCGGCCGCGAUGGCCAACGGCGCGGCGGCGUGGGUGGUGCAGGGGAUGGAGUGCGGGGCCGGCGACGAGCGCCUGCCCGCCCGGCAGGGCGCUACGGGGCAGCAGGCGAAAAGGGGGGGCUUGCGGGCUGGCGCCGGCAACCGUGGAGGUGGCCGCGACCGAGGCAGGCGGCUGGGGCGCGCUAGCCUAGCGCGGGCACGGCUGGGCGAAGCCAGCGCGGCCAAGGCGCGUAGUGAGUGAGGGAGCGGGGCGGGGCGCCGGCUGUAGUGGCCGCGGCAGCGGCAACAGCAGCGCACAGCACGGGGGGCGCAGUAGCGGUAGGUAGACGCGAGUGUAGCGGGCAGGGGCCAGGGAGCGGAGCUCCAAGCGCGGCGGCGCUGCAGACGGGAGUGGAGCAGGCGCGCAGCAGUGGGGUAGCGACGCGGGGAGGCGUGCAGCGUCUGGACGGCAUCGCCAGCGAAGCGAGGCUGGCGCGCGGGUGCGCGCGUGCUCACCGCGAGCACGAGCACCGGGCGGCGCGUGCACGACUGCGGGACGGUGCGAGGAGCAACGAGGAAGAGAGCCCGGGGGCCUCACCGCGGAUUCGUAGGGUCAAGGCAGCGGGGCUCGGGGAGGUCGACGGGGACGACGCGCGAUGGGGAGGCAGGCCGGCGGGGAGGAGGACGGGGACGUGUCGACGACGGAGAGGCAAGCGGCGUGGUUCCGGCGACAGGAUCCGGGGAGCGUCAGGCGAGGGCGGGUGUUGACGAGGCGGCGGGGUCGUGCCCCGAUCCGAUCUGGAUCGGGGGGCAGAGGGGGCGCGUAGUGGGGGAAUUGGGUGAUUGGGAGGUUAGGGUUUCUGGUCGGGGUGGGGUUAUGGGGAGUGUGGGGGAGUGGCCGGUUGGGCCUUUGCCCAGUUGGGCCGGUGGCCGAAUGGGCCGGCCAGUUGGGUCGGCUGGCCCGGGGGGGUUCUUUUUCCCUCUUUGUUUGUUUGUUUGUUUGUUUUCUGUUUUCUUUUAUUAUUUCUUUCUUUUCUGUUUUAAUUCAAUUUAAAAUAUUUAUGCAUUUUAUAAAACUGUAUCUUCUACACCAUAAUUAUCUAUGUAAUAUUUAGUACAAACCGAACAUUUUUAUUUUAAUGUUUGAAAACUUUUAUUGUUUUCCUGUAAUUAAAUUUUGAAUUUGUUUCGGUUUUGAAUUAUCUAGGGUUUAUCAACAGUAACCGAGGUGACGUGGCAUCAUUAGCGGGGGAUCACUGUAGCUUAAUUAUCCGGG
rnacentral:lncRNA from 1 species